UACACAUGCAGUCGAGGGGUAACAGGAAAAAGCUUGCUUUUUUGCUGACGACCGGCGCACGGGUGCGUAACGCGUAUAGAACCUACCUUUUACAGGGGAAUAGCCCAGAGAAAUUUGGAUUAAUGCCCCAUAGUAUUAUUGAUUGGCAUCNAUUAGUAAUUAAACAUUUAUGGGUAAAAGAUGGCUAUGCGUUCUAUUAGCUAGAUGGUAAGGUAACGGCUUACCAUGGCAACGAUAGAUAGGGGUCCUGAGAGGGAGAUCCCCCACACUGGUACUGAGACACGGACCAGACUCCUACGGGAGGCAGCAGUGAGGAAUAUUGGACAAUGGAGGCAACUCUGAUCCAGCCAUGCCGCGUGCAGGAAGACGGCCCUAUGGGUUGUAAACUGCUUUUAUACGGGAAGAAACCCAACUACGUGUAGUUGGCUGACGGUACCGUAAGAAUAAGCACCGGCUAACUCCGUGCCAGCAGCCGCGGUAAUAC
rnacentral:rRNA from 1 species